UGGGGAAUUUUGGACAAUGGGCGAAAGCCUGAUCCAGCAAUGCCGCGUGUGUGAAGAGGCCUUCGGGUUGUAAAGCACUUUUGUCCGGAAAGAAAUCCUUGGCUCUAAUACAGUCGGGGGAUGACGGUACCGGAAGAAUAAGCACCGGCUAACUACGUGCCAGCAGCCGCGGUAAUACGUAGGGUGCAAGCGUUAAUCGGAAUUACUGGGCGUAAAGCGUGCGCAGGCGGUUUGCUAAGACCGAUGUGAAAUCCCCGGGCUCAACCUGGGAACUGCAUUGGUGACUGGCAGGCUAGAGUAUGGCAGAGGGGGGUAGAAUUCCACGUGUAGCAGUGAAAUGCGUAGAGAUGUGGAGGAAUACCGAUGGCGAAGGCAGCCCCCUGGGCCAAUACUGACGCUCAUGCACGGAAGCGUGGGGAGCAAACAGGAUUAGAUACCCUGGUAGUCCACGCCCUAAACGAUGUCAACUAGUUGUUGGGGAUUCAUUUCCUUAGUAACGUAGCUAACGCGUGAAGUUGACCGCCUGGGGAGUACGGUCGCAAGAUUAAAACUCAAAUGAAUUGACGGGGUCAUAGCUGUUUCCU
rnacentral:rRNA from 1 species